rnacentral:misc_RNA from 1 species
AUGAUCCAUGAGUUAAAAGGGCUCUGUAGUUUCAUGGGUGUUGCUCCUUAUCUGUUGUGGGAGAUGUUGUGUGAUCAGUAAUUAUACUCCCUCCAUCCCAAAAUAAGUGUCACCUUGGCAAAAAUCAUGUCCAUUAAGAAAUCGAUAAAUAUAAUGUGUAGUUUACUAAACUACCUUAUUUAAUAAAUGUCUUUUGAAAAAUUGAACACUACUUAGAAG